rnacentral:rRNA from 1 species
ACUUUGCAAUGUGCGAAAGCACGACAAGGUUAAUCCGAGUGGUUUCUGCUAAAGGAACCUUUUGUCAGUCCUAGAAACACUGUUGAAUAAGGGGUGGGCAAGUUCUGGUGUCAGCCGCCGCGGUAAAACCAGCACCUCAAGUGGUCAGGAUGAUUAUUGGGCCUAAAGCAUCCGUAGCCUGCUUUGUUAGUUUUCGGUUAAAUCCAUACGCUUAACGUAUGGGCUGCCGGGAAUACUGCAAAGCUAGGGAGUGGGAGAGGUAGACGGUACUCGGUAGGAAGGGGUAAAAUCCUUUGAUCUAUUGAUGACCACCUGUGGCGAAGGCGGUCUACCAGAACACGUCCGACGGUGAGGGAUGAAAGCUGGGGGAGCAAACCGGG